rnacentral:snRNA from 1 species
GUGCUUGCUUCAGCAGCACAUACACUAAAAUUGGAACGAUACAGAGAAGUUGAGCAGGGCCCCUGUGCAAGGAUGACACACAGAUUCAUGAAGCCUUCCAUAUUUUU